rnacentral:piRNA from 1 species
UCAUGGUUGUCCUGAGCAUUUAGUUGUGCA